GACAGAGGCCCCGAGCGUUAGUCGGAAUUACUGGGCUUAAGGGUGCGUAGGCGGGCGCGUAAGUGUCUGGUGAAAGCCCCGGGCUCAACCCGGGAACCGCCGGGCAUACUGCGCGUCUCGAGGAAGCUAGAGGCCGGUGGAACGAUCGGUGGAGCGGUGGAAUGCGUAGAGAUCGAUCGGAACGCCAAGGGUGAAGACAACCGGCUGGGGCUCUCCUGACGCUGAGGCACGAAAGCGUGGGG
rnacentral:rRNA from 1 species